ACGACUAGCUUUGGAUCAUGCGGGCGCUGCUGCCAGCACCUCUUCCGGUGGGUUGGAGCCCAGACUGAAAAACCUUAUAAAUGGGAUACCGGUCUGUACCGUGUCGUACCGCAUCACAACAAGUUGUGCCCUAUGUGUCCGUCUGUUUUGGUGCCUCGCGGCCGUGGACACUCUACAGUCAUGUUUGGCUGGCGGCUGGUAGAAAUAACAGCAGCAUCAGCAGCAACAGAUGUAUCAGCGCAGUGUAGCAAAGCCUCUAGGAAUGCAGCGACAAAACAAAAUCAGUGCUGCCGGCUGUCAGCCUGACGUGACUGUUCUGUUGCGCGUGGUGCCUUGUGUGCUGGGACUGAUGCAAUUGGUGUAGCGCGGGAUUGGUACUUGGAUCUUGUUGUGACGAAUGCAUUCACAUGCGUGCUUCAUAGAAGCUGAACCUAUCUGCAUUAUUAAGCACGGCUUUCUUUCUCUCAUACCGUGCCCUAACAACCUGUACUGCCCCCCUUCCACCACCAUCUUGUUGGUCGUUGAUGUGGACUGGCGAGGUCGCUGCCGUGCCAAGCAUUAUCACGGAAGCCAUCGUUGCAGCUAUCAAGGACACAUCCAUGUGAGUAUACGACUACGGGGUUUGGUCGGGGGAAGAUCGGCCUGGCAGCUAGGCGGUGAGUAUAGUCGGGAGAUGAUGGAUGGCUUGUGAUGGCUGGGUCGAUGGCUCGGUGCCUCUGCGGCUCGGCGCAUUUUUAAGGCUACUACCACGCGUGCACGGCGUCAGUUUCAAGUUUAUCAGGCGCACACGACGUCGGCUUUGAGGCUUCAUGUUGUUGUAGCGCGUUAGAGCGUUACAGAGCUCAUCGCAAAGCGAUUAAGGCACGACUUGAUAAAGACUGAUCUACGAACCGUCUACGAAUAUCUGGGGAGUUUAUAAGUGUUUCCUAAUUAGGAACGACACGCACUUGAGAUUCCUACAGACACAUCGGUUUGAGCAACCGAUGUAGAUCUGAAGAGACAUCGUACAAUAGAAGUUGUCGCGGCCUCCUAGGAAACGAGUAUUGAUGCUCGGAGGAAGCCUGGGAUGGAUAUCUUUCGAUAUACCAGUAAGCGAGAUUCUAGAGGCAUAAGUUUCUAAUGCCCCUUACUCAGAACAGAGCCCAGACCUUGACGGAGCGAAUCCGUCCUGUAACCUGUCGGCUCUCGCCGCUAUUACGUGCUAACACUGCAAGGCGUAGACGGCUUCGGUUUCGACGCACGCAUACGAGUAUAUGAUUACGGGAUAUGGUCGUGUAGUAGCUGGUACACAGUACGGCUCUACAAAUACGCGCGUAGCGCGACCACCAGCAUCUCGAGAGGCCUUUUCAGCGGCCAGCUACUACAGGUCGGGAGAAAUUCGGUUGCCCGGCUAGGCGGUGAGUAGUCUCGGGGGAAGGGGGGUGGCUCGGGGGUUGGGUUGAUGGCUCGGCGGCUCGGCGGCUCGGCACGUUGGCGGCUUGGCGGUUUGGCAGCUUGGCGGCUCGGCGGCUUGAUGGCUCGGUGGUCUGGCUGCUUGGAAGUGUUGUCCUCGGCUGCAAGGGUGGGCAUUAAAUGGGUUGGAGAAGAGGAUGGUAUCAAAUGGUAUCAUUCGUACACAACACAUCAGUAUCUCUACAUCUUCAUGUAGCCAUAUGCAUCCAGGCAUUCGAGGCCCGCAGGCGCAUGCUGCGUCGGCUUCGAGGCCACGAGGCGCGCACGACGUCGGUUUCGAGGCCACCAUCGUCACCCAUGUAUGGACGUUGCCAUGCAUGUGAAUGGGCUGCAUGUGGAUAUACGUGAUAGACAUAUGGGGUUACCUGUCUUGCCUAUAGAGGUGAGUUAAGAGGGGGGCCGGGAAGAGGAGCUGGACCACCAAUAAGGGCGUGAAAAGGGAGAGUCCUUGGUGCAGGGCGUGAGACGGGAGAGCCCCAACACUUGCGUACUAACACCCGAGGGUGAUCAGCCCGACGGCUAGGAGAGCGUGAGAGGUGCGUACUCCUCGUAGGGCAUGGGACGCUCCCGGUCCACCCCACGGGGGCUUCAGUGGGUUCAAAUCCCGCAUUGAUCGAGGUAUGUGAGUUCGUACUGCCUCUGCCAUGCUGCCUGGGUCGAAGCUUCUUCCUUGCUGACUUCACACAAUCGCCCUGCGCAAACGUCUUGACCUUCUGGACUAAUUGGGCUAUCUGGAUCCCUAAGCUUGCUAACCUGGGCGGUUAUCAUCAGGAAUUCGAGGUAGGAAAAUAACGACACUCGGGUGUACUGCUGUCGCGUCAUUGUAUGGCCUUGGCGUUUAGGUGCGGCUUAACAACCGUCACAGGUGACGUUGCGUGUGAUGCGUUGCAUCACACGUUUACGAUUAUGCAUAUCGCAUUUCACAUUUACCUUCAACCUGUUCUGUGUAUGUGUCUACGUUGCAGGAUCGUGGAAGUGCAUACCCCGUACCUGUAAAAACCGCCUAAUACGCAUCGAGGGCAGAAGAGCUCCCUUCCUAAUCGCCUGUACGCACCAUCCCACCACUCCAGACACAGCAAGUGAUAAAGCUAACGACCAAAGGGAACGGUAGAGUUGCGACGGGACCACAUACGUUCCAGCAUCUUCGCCAGACGUUCAGGAUUCCACUUCAUAUAACGCCCUUCAUAUGCGCGAAGCGUGGGAAAUCCGUUUCAGACCUUCCAGCGGAUCAGUCCAGCGGAUCAGUCCAGCGAGAGGUGCUCCUCAGGAACUUUUUGCUGGUGAAGGCGAUUGGUUCUCCGUUCUUCAGUAGGGCUGCACCCGUACCGUGCAAGGACGCGUGAAACAGAGGUCACUUAGAACGUGAAAGGUCAUGUCCGGGUACCGGGUUAGCAGUACAUCGUCGGCCAACGCGUUUUUCACCAUCUCAAAUGCCUGUACCCGUUUAGGUGUCCAGUCUUCCGUCCGGAACGUGAUCAUGUAACAUAUCUCUGUGGGGAGCCGAAAGUGUGAAGCGUACGCUUUAACGAGGUUUCGGAAACAGCUCGUAAGCCCCAAGAACUGCCGUAACUCGGAUGUAUUCUUUGGCAACGGCCACUCACGGACAGUCUUCGCCUUCUUAGGAUCCAUGCGAACUCCGUCGGCACUAACGAUGUGACCGAGGUACUCAAUCUGAGUUUGCGCCCAGUGGCACUUUGACGACUUGGCAUGUAACCGUGUUCCCGUUUUAGCACUUCGAACAGGGUUUCAAGGUGUUUUAAGUGCUCUUCACGACUUCGGGAGUACACCAGGAUUUCAUCCAGGUAAACCACGACAAGCCUGCCGAGAAGGGGCUGGAAUAUUCGGUUCAUCACCACUUGGAACGUGGCUGGGGCAUUUGUUAGCCCGAACGGCAGGACAACGUACUCAUAGUCUCCUAGAGGUGUGCGAAACGCAGCGUGUCAAAACACAUCCUCAUCCCGAAUCUUAAUUUGGUGGUAUCCCUGUUGUAAGUCUCGAUGGAGGAGUAGGUGAUCAAGCUAUCCACCAAGUCAUCUACCCGCGGCAACGGAUAUCGGUUUUUAACCGUUUGUGUAUUCAGCCCUCGACAAUCCACCACCACCACCAUGCGUAACGUUCAAUCCUUCUUUCCCACGAAGAGGAUCGGAGCUGCCCCCGGGGAUGCACUAGGGCG
rnacentral:lncRNA from 1 species